rnacentral:rRNA from 1 species
UGGGGAAUAUUGCACAAUGGGGGAAACCCUGAUGCAGCGACGCCGCGUGAGCGAAGAAGUAUUUCGGUAUGUAAAGCUCUAUCAGCAAGGAAGAUAAUGACGGUACUUGACUAAGAAGCUCCGGCUAAAUACGUGCCAGCAGCCGCGGUAAUACGUAUGGAGCAAGCGUUAUCCGGAUUUACUGGGUGUAAAGGGAGCGUAGACGGCAUGGCAAGUCUGAUGUGAAAGCCCGGGGCUCAACCCCGGAACUGCAUUGUAAACUGUCGUGCUGGAGUGCAGGAGAGGUAAGCGGAAUUCCUAGUG